rfam:Aedes albopictus isolate Foshan contig41997, whole genome shotgun sequence.
UGCCCAGCAACUCCUAUCCCUACCUCCACGCGGUACCGGCCGGAAACUAUGAGCAAUCUUAGGGAAUAUCGGGUAAACAACCCCGGUGGGAACUUUGGUCGCGAAAUGACAGGGAAGG